UUGUUUGUUUUUUAAAUAAGAUAUGUAUUUUGCAGACAUUUUAUUUCAGUUUGUGUCUUAUUUUGCAUUCUUCAAACAUUGUCUUUUGGGGAAAAAUUUUUUAACUUUGAUGAACUCUUCACUUUUUUUUCUUUUGUGGUUUGUACUUUCUGUGUUCUCAGAUCUUCCAAUUAACAAUCCUACUUCUAAGAAAUUACAAACAUUUUCAUCUCUCUUAGAUACCAAAUGGAAUGUCUCCCUGAUGAUUUGCUGUGUGUAUCUUCAGUGUAGGGCUGGUAGAACUUGGAGAGCUGCUGCUUCCCAUGGUUGUUGAAGAUGAGGAUCGCCUUGAUCAUGGCUGAGCCAGGCCGACUCGGUCGGCACUGGGGCCAGAGCAGGGGCUGUGCUUUCUUGUGUUCUAAGAAAUUUUGCCUAACCCCAAAUUGCAAAGCUUUCCUAGAAAUUUCAGGUUUUGGCUUUACCUUUAGGUACAUGAUCAUUUCAAGUUACAUUCUGUAUGUGGUAUGAGUAUGGGUCAAGGCUUUUAUUUUCUUUUUUUUCCUUUUUUGCAUAUGGAUAUCCAACUGCUUGAGCACAAUUUUUUGAAAAGACUAACUUCUCUACAUUUGAUUGACUUGGCAUCUUUGUUGAAAAUUGAUUAAUUGGUUGACCACAUAUAGACGUACAGGUCUAUUUCUGGACUGUCCUGUGUUCUAUAUAUCUAUCCUUUUUCUAAUAUUAAACUAUCUUGAUUCUUCUAAUUUCAUAGUAGGUCUGGAAAUCAAGGAAUGUGAGUCUUAAAACUUUGUUCACAUUCUUAAAUCAUUUUUUAAAAUGUUUGCUUAUUUUGAGAGAGAGAGAGUGCACUGCAAAGAGACGGAGAGGGGGAGAGAGAGAGAGAGAGAGAAAGAGAAUCCCAGGCAGGCUCCACGCUGUCAGUGCAGAGCCCAACAAGGCGCUCAGUCCCAUGAGAUGUGAGAUCAUGACCUGAGCCAAAGUCAGACGCUUAACCGACUGAGCCACCCAGGUGCCCCUGUUCACAUUCUUAAAAAAUAUUUUUGACAAUUUUAGUUCCUUUGUUUUUUCCAUGUAGAUUUUCAAUAGCUUGUUAAUAUUUAUAUGAAAAAAACCUGCUUUUUAAAAUUGGGAUCGUGCUGAAUCUAUAGAUCCCUAUAGUUUAGGGAGAAUUGACAACUUAAUCUUGAGUCUUUCAAUCCAUGAACAUACUAUUUCUCUUCAUUUAGGUUUUGUUUAAUGUAUUUCAUCAAUAUUUUGUAGUUUUCAAUACACAAAUCUUGCACAUUGUGCAUGUGAGGGGGCUUUAUAUCUAAGUACUGUACUGUGGGAAGUCAAAUAGCUAUGUCCUGGUUAAGGAGAUUAUAGGGAACGUAUUACACUGCUUUCUGGACAUGAUGAAAACAGCUGACCAGUAUCUAUUAAUGUGUAUUUAGGGGUUGGGUCCUGCCUGUGCUCAUGUAUUCCUUAGACAGUAUUAUCUUUGGGAUAUCUUAUCUGUUCCCCACCCUGCUUUUGGCAGGCAUCUGCUCUUUUGCGGUCUGGGAAUGCCUUGUAGCAUUUCUACUCCUGUCGGAAUACUCAAAUUGCAAAUGUUGAUUAUGAAUUGCCUGUGUGGCCCAACUUCUUUUUUUUUUUUAAUUUUUUGUUAAUGUUUAUUUAUUUUUGGGAGAGAGAAAGACAGAGCAUGAGCAGAGGAGGGGCAGAGAGAGAGGGAGACACAGAAUCUGAAGCAGGUUCCAGGCUCUGAGCUGUCAGCACAGAGCCCGACACGGGGCUCGAAUGCAUGAACUGUGAGAUCAUGACCUGAGCCAAAGUCAGACGCUUUACCAACUAAGCCACCCAGGCACCCCAACAACCCUCUUGAUAUUCUAAAGUCCACACAGCUGGGGCAGGGUGGUGAAGGGUGCGAGGAAGUAUGGUUUUUGUUAAUGCCUUCCAAUCCCAAGGGGUCAUUUCACAACCAUUUCUUAUUGUUUCAAUGAUCCCCUUCGUAAAAGAGCUUUGGAUACCAUUCUCAGCAACACUUCGUUUCAAUUCCUUAAAGAUAGUAAAAAGGAGGGACUCAUGCCUAAGGUGAUGUCCAGCAGUGGUAAUGACAGGGAAACUAUGAGACUCCCCAGCAGCAUAUCCCUCUUGUAAACAUUGCUGCAUAGCUAAUGGUUUAUGUCCCUCCAAUAUAGGCAUUGGCUUUAUAUUGGGAAGAAUAGGGACAGGAAGAGGCAGUGGAGGGAAGUUGUCCUCAAUUGUAGGAGGUGCCAUAGGAGAGGUGGGUGUUAGGCUAUCUUUCUUAAUUUUUUCCUUCUCUGGAGAUACACAUAAGGGACAUAAUGCCGUUCAGACUAAACUCCAGGUCACUAAGAUGGAAGCAGGAACCUUCUCUCUUUUUUCAUGGUUUUUUUUUUUUUUUUUUAUUACUUGUUCCCAUAGAUCUAAAUCAACUGUACCAUGGUCUGGGAACCAGGGGCAGGUGUCUCAUAUUGUUCAUAACAAUUUACUUAAUUGAUCUUUUUUUGACAGUACAAUGAGCUGCCUUUAAAAGCUGCUGUAAAGUUUUUAAAUAUAAUAGCUGUUCCUUUGUCUUUUUUGGCCCAUGAUAAAAGAAGAGAAAAGAAAUACUCUCAACUAGACACGUUGGCAGCUAUCCCAAGCGGGUAUUGCUGUCUCUUACUGGGAUGAGGUCUGUCUGAAGUCUGGAACUUUCUUCUCCUGAACGUGUCGAUUCUGCCACCUGAUGAGCUUCCUCUGGAACCUAUCACUGUCAUGUCAGGGUCACCAGUUGUGGGUUCGGCUUUUGACUUUGUCCAUCAAAACCGAGGAUGGCAGAAAGGAUUACUCAAGACUCCACAAGUCAAGAGAGCUUGGGAGAAGGCUCUGGGAUGCUUAAAAUGCUGCCUAGUGGCUGAAGGGAGAGAGUCUCGGGCACAAGUCCUGGCACCAGGGGGAUGCUAGAGGGGCACUCUGAGGCUACAGAGCUCUGGAGGCUUUCCAAGAGGAAGAGAUACCUUCCCAGCCCAGCCUGGAGGUGUCCAGCCUGUGGAGGCUUUAUCAACUUCCUGCGGUGAGUGCUUAAGCUUGUUUACUGUCAGUCUUUCUUAGUUCCUAAUAACUGUAUCUAAAGUUAUAAACUCCUCUGAAGUUGUUCUUUUAUCAUUCCACAAGUUUUUUCACAGCAUUUUUAUUUAUUUUAAAUCUGAAUAUUAUAGUUACCAUUGUGAUUUCUUCAUUAGUCCAUAAAUUAUUUAAAAGUGUAUUUCUAAUCUCCAAAUGUAUGAGUUUCUUUCACUUUGUUGUUAUCUAAUUAAGUUGCACUACAAUAAAAUAUUGUGAUCUAAGUGACAAAUUCUUUGGAAAUUCUUGAAAAUUCCCUGUUGCUUUUCAGUUCAAUUUGCGUAACUGUUUCGUAUGUACUUGGAAAGAAAAUUUGUUUAUUUGUUGCAUACAAGAUCGUAUAUCUCUGUAUCAUCUAUUAUCAUCUAUCAUCAAGUAUCUAUAAAAUCAAGCUUAUUAAUUACUAACUCUUCUACAUCCUUACCAAUAUUUUUGUCCCCUUGAUUUAUCAAUAUCUGAAAGAGGUGAGCAUGGUAUAUUGAUUACAUUGAACGCCCUGCAUAAUGACCUCUGUGAAACUGUGACUUUGCAGCUCCUCCCAUCAAGAGGUCUAAUCUAUUUCCCCAUGUGGUGACUUUGGGUAGGCCUUCUGCGUUCAUUGACCAACAGAACACAGUAGAAGUAUUGAUGCACCUAUUCUGAGCCUAGAUUCCAGUACUGUGUGUGUCUGCUUUCUCUCUGGAACCUCUACCAUGCCAUGCAAACAAGCCCUGGCCAGUCUGCUAGAAGAUGAGAAACUUCAUGGAGCAAAGAUAAGUCAUCUUAACUGCUCAUCUUGCACUUGAAUUAAUUAGCUGAUGAGCACAUUCAUGAAUAACAAUAACUGACAAUUAUCUUAAGCCAGAGAGUUUGGGGGUAAUUUUUAUGGAGCAAUAACCAACUGACACAUAGCAUUAACAUUUCCCCUGUAAUUAUGCAGUUGUCAAUUUGUCUUUAUACUUUUGGUACUUUUACUUUUUAUAUUUUUGAGGCUAUGAAUUCAGGUGUAUGUAAUUUUAUGAUUUCUUAUCAUCUUUGUGUUUUACAUCUUUUACCGAUGUAAGUGUAUCUUGUAUUCAUGCGAAAUGUAUUCCCUGUAAACAUCACAUUUAUAUUUUGAGCAAUAUGAACAUUGAUGUAGCACUUUUCUUUGGGUUGCUUUUUGGCUGGUAUGCUUUUUGCCCCAACUCAUAUAUAUUUAAAUGCUCUGUGGAUUUUUGUUCUGAUUGUGUCUUCUUAUGUGUGGUCCACCAUUCCUUUGCUUCUUUUUGUUGUCUCUUUCUGUGUUUUCUGUUGAAUUAUCAAGUCCUCCCACUUUGUUCUUUUGUUAUCUGUUUGAAAAUUCAGAUUUCAAAAAGCUAAUAAGUAAUAUCUUGCUUUUUCCUCUUGUGUGUUCUGAAGCAACUGAGAGAUAGACAAGACAGUAAGGCAGACAGAGGUCAAAUACCACCUGUAUUACUAACAAAGGUUUUGGAGAAUGUGACUCUAAGUCUGUUGUCUCUGAAUUAGGCAGAAUUACCUGGUCCCUAGUAGUGCUGAGUAACCACAGAACUCCUUCCUCAGGGACAAACAAAGUUGAGCAGAACAGAAUGUAUGUUCUCUCCUGAUAAGCAGAUCCCAAGGGAGGAAGAAGAUUAGAAGGGGCUGAGCUAAGCAUUCAGUUAUGUUGGAGGAGGUCAUCGAGAGGAUAUGACCACUGUUGACUCACGAGCUGGAUCUGGGCAGUUAGAGGCUCCUCACUCUCUCCCUGUCCUUGGAAUGUAUGUUCUGCCCACCAUUCCCAAGUGGGAGCUGUUCCAAGGACAUAGCCUUAUGAGAGUAAGGGGUUGUUGAGACCAUCUGGGCAGUAUACAUGACUGAAACCAGUUAAAUCUUCCAUUUGAACUUCUAAGAGUCCGGCGGGCAGGUAUGGAAACUUUCUUGUCUUAUGGCAAGCCUCCUAUGCAGGUUUCCUUGCUUAUUAAGACUGUUACCUGCCGGUCUGGAGUAGGCUGGCUCUUUCUUCAGUCUCUCCUUGCCCUCAGUGUACAGGGGCUGGUUUGCAAACCAACAAGUUGCCUUUCCUAAACUAUCAUUCAGAGAAGUAAUUUUGACUCUCCCAGACAAGAGUGAGAAGGAGUGGCCCGAGUGCCCAGGAAUACUAUUUUAAUAAAAAUCACCCCUAGAAACACAAGUGGAGGCAUAGGUAUUCUUAGAAAAUAAAUAGUAUAUUCCACAUCUGUUCUCUUAGUUAUUAUGCCCACAUUUUUAGUAUAUCUUUCCUAUGGCUGUUGUAACAAUUACCACAAAUUAGGGGGUUUAAAACAACACACAUUUAUUCUUGUGCCGUUCUAGAGGCCAGAAGUCUGAUAGCAGUAUCCUGGGUGACAGUAGGGUCAUGCUUCUUCCAGGUGCUCUCGGGCAUGGAUCUCUUCCUUUUCUUUUCCACCUCCGAGACUUCCAUCUUCAAAGGCAGAUGUUUAGCGUCUUGCUUUGGUCAUUACACUGACUCUGUCUCUGCUCUCAUCACAUUUCUUAUGUGGACACUUAUGAUUACGUUUAAGACCCACCUGAACAUUCCAGUGUUGUCCCGUCUCAGGAUCCUUAAUCCCAGCUGCAACGUCCCUUUGUCAUAUAAAAUAAUAUUCACAGGCUCUGGAGAUUCGGACAUGGCUGUCUCUGGGGGCCAUUACUCAGCCUAGCGCCCAUAUAUAGUUAACAUUUUUAUUUCUCCAACAAGUCUAAACUUAGAGCCUCCUUUCUGUCCUUCUCCCAAAUAAGCCGGGACUUAAUGUUGUUGUCUAUGAUUUUUAAUUCUAACAUUUUAAAAUGUACACAUUAUGGUUGUUUGACUAUUAUAAAUAUUUACUGAGAUUACCAAUGUGCUUUUAUGAUGUCUACUUACUACUUUUUGCAUAUCAUUCCUUUCUUCUAGGUUCAUUUUCCUUGCAUCUCAAAUAUGUUUUUUAGAAGUUAUUUUAUUCCAAUUUUUAUCUUUCGAUAAAAAUUUGUAUCUAAAAUUGUUUUUAAUCCACCUUCACUUUCAAUUUAAUUUAGCUGAUUAUAGAAUUUUAGGUUCAUGAUAUUGUUUUUUUCCUCAGAAUUGUACCACAGUUCCUAGCAGAGAACUAGAACCUCUGGAUGAAUGAAUGAAUUUUGCAGACAUUAGGAAAAUAGAAUAGUGAAAAUAAUCCUGGAUUAGGGGUCAGAAAAACUGGCCUUAAAUGCCAGAUCUACUUAUUACAAUUAGGCUUUGGAAAGCCAUUUAACAUAAUAAUCUCACUUGAAAAUUGGAAUAAUAGUCUUCACCCUAAUUCACAACAUCCUUGUCAGUCUUAAAAAAAAAAUAAUGAAUUUGCAAAUUAUGUAUGGUGAAAUUGUACAGCUUCUUAGUAAUUGAUUAUUUAUUAUUAUGAUUUAGAAUUGUUGAUAAGGUUGGUUUAUUUUUCAUUGCUAUAGAAUAGAAUUAUAUAUGUUUCACAGACGUAAUUCUCAACUGUGGAAUUUAAGUAGAUCAAUUCAUAAAAAGCAUACUGCCCCAGCAAAAAUAGACAUUGUAUAAUUAAAGAUUAUCCUCUAGUAUAUCAAUAUAGUGCUUUCAUUAUGAUGGUUUUUGAAAUAACUUUAAGUAUAAAUGCUUAAUUGGAAAACUUGGUAUCCUUUGCAGUGAUGUUUUCUUGACAGGAAAUUAUUUAUAUGAGAUUAUUUUAGCAAAUUGAUUACAUCUGUAGUUUAGAAUGAAUAAUGACCCAGAACCCAUAAUGGUUAGAAACAUUUUUUUUCCCCUUUGCAUUGCUAUCAGUCACACCACGCAUUUUAUCCUCACAGAUAAGAUUUUCAAAGAAGCUAUUAGAGAUGAGGUUGAGGGAACAAGAUGGAUUUGUUUUGGCAUAAGGAUGGAGUUAACUCUUCCAUAUCCUACAAAGACACACACACACACACACACACACACACACAUAUGUUUUAAUAGAAGAGUCAUCUAGUUAAAUUAUUCUUGUCUGCCUUGGUGGUGCUUGGUCAGCUACUUAGAGAAACUGGUUAUCUGCAGAUUAUCAUCCCUAUCUCUUUGUCACCCCCUGAAAUUGAGGAGAAAUUAUUUCUGUUUUUGCCUGGCCACACUCAGUUAUGUUUGAUGGGCCUCCUCAGAAUUUAAAUUGAUCAGUUUCCUAAUCCUCCACUUUGAAAUAAAAUACUCAGCUGUUAUUGGUUCCCAACAUAGAUAUUAGAAAUGCUUAUUGGUCUGUAAGGCUUUCUUCCACACUUUGGCACAAACACCUCAUUUACCAAAGUGGUUAUAAUGGUGGAAAUAGAAGCUAAAGCAUCAGUUCAUAAUGGGUAGAAGGAGGUGGGUAGCAGCUGGGUUCAGCAGGUUGAUUGCUAUUUGUCCCCUUGGGCAUUUUCCGGAGAAACCUUUAAGAUUUAUUCCCAUCAUGUUGCAGAGGCAUGAACCUAAGGGACUGCCACUUAAUGUCCCAACUAGAGACCAAUUUUCUUUGAUAUUCAUUGGGAUGGACACAGGUACAACUUCACCCCUCAGAUUUUAGGUCUCAAACUACUAAUAACCUGUUUACAAUUGCUUUUAUAUUUUUUCAGCUAAUCUUGGCAUGUUAAGGGUUCUAUUGCCAUGAGCACAGUGAUUGGUACAGAAGAGAGGAAAGUAAACAUUACAUGUAAAAUGAAUGAAAACUUUUAAUUUCUUCUUUUAAAAAAAUUGAAGUACUAUUUUUUUAGAGGCCAAGAUAAAGUGUCUCACUCUUGAUUUUGGCUCAGGUCGUGAUCCAAGUGUCAUGGGAUUGAGCCCUGCAUGGGACUCCGCACUGAGCGUGGAGCCUGUUUGGGAUUUUCUCUCUGUCUCUGUCUCUCUCUCUCUCUCUCUCUCUGUCUCUCUCUCUCUCUCUCCCCCUGUGUUCCUCUCCCCUGCUUGCAUGAAUGUGCAUUCUCUCUCUCUCUCUCUCUCUCUCUCUCUCUCUAAAGGAUGUUUAAGCUAAAAAAACCAAUUAAUUCUUGUAGUGCUUAUGUAUCUUUACUACCUUGUUACCAUAUUAGUGUCAUGCUAUCUGAGUUUUAAUCUAUCUAGGAAUUACCUUGUGUGUCUUUUUUAUUAACAUUUUAUUCUUUGAUCUCAAUGUUUCAAAGUCUGAAAAUUUUAUCACUUCUUUUGUAGGCUUGUUUUUGGAAUUUCAAUGUGAUAUUUUAAAAAGAUCUCUGACCAAGAACGUUUUAUUUGAGUCUUUUAUAAACAUCCUGGUUUUAAAUAUCUGCUAUCUAAACAACAAUCAAUUUUGGAAAGAAUAAAAAGCCAAUGGAGUCAAUAAUCCCUUUGCCCAAACUCCAAACUGGUUAUGAGAUACGCCCCAGAGAACUGAGGAAGAACAAUGGAGUACAGUAUUAACUAAAAUCAGUGCAUAAUUUUAUUUUUUUUAAGCAUUCUGGAACAGAUAAUUUAUCACAGUUUGAUGCCUCAGGAAACAUUCCAUUUUGGUUAUAUGACACAGAGAGAAGCUCUCUUAAACUUCCCCUACAGACUCCUUCGUAUAUUUAGCAUGAUCCCUGAAAUGGAGGUGGUAAGAGAUGUGUUUCCCGGUUGAGGACAUGAAAGACACCACUCACCAGUUGUGGGCAAUACCUACGAGGGGAUUAGAUGGGAACUUUUGCUACAUGCCCUGCUCCCCACAUAUGAAGGUUCCCAAAGCAUAAUAUAUCCAAUUAUAUGCCUGGAUGGGGUUUUCAGGUCACCCCAGACCAGUCUUCUGUCAGUAAGUUCAUCCUUUGGUGUAGUUUUUAGGGAAAGAUAUUCAAAACUAGUCUCAAGUACAAGUGUUCAAAAACCCUGGGGAGUCCUGAACAAAUACAGAGAAAACUUAAAUAAUAACAAAUCAGGUACAAUUGUAUUAGAAAUAUCUAGAAUACAGAUCUCCUCCAGUCAAGCUCUCUCCAUUUGUUCUACCACCCUGCACUGACAUCUCAUUAAAUUUAGAAUGCAGUUAAAAUCCUGCAAAAUUCUAUAUGAAUUGUCCCCUGCCACCCUAUCUAAUUAGCUCCUACUACUCUCUCCUAGUGUUCCUGGCUUCCUCUACUUCAACUAUCAGAAGGUGCCUGCAAUCACUGCAUCCCUUACAUAAAUUAAAGGAGUAAAGAAGUACAGGAGAUAUUACCCGACUUCUGAGGCUUGAUCAUAAGAAGCACAAAAUCCAUCACAUGGCAGAUAUGCAGAUGGGCAUUCCAUGAGAUGAGCCAAGAUUUUGAACACAAAGCCUUCUUCAGCCAGCUGGGAGCAGAUAUAUGAAGAGCCCUUGUCACCUGAAAUUUAUUGUCCUUCCCUAUUCAUUGUUCCAGAACAUAGGGCAGCAGCUAGAAUCUGUGGCUGAAACUGAAGUUUCAGUGAGCAGUAUGGUGAGCCUAGUCCAAACCUAUGUCAUCAUCCAAAUGUUGACUUCAGAUUUCACUGAUAUUUACCAGUACCUUUGUUUUCUUGUUUUUCAUUCACAGCCCUUUCCUUUACUCAGUAUUUCGUGAAAUUCUAUAUAUUAUAUGUUAGAUUAUUUGCUAGACAUUUUGUAGUUUUAUCGCUAUUGUUCAAGGUAUUCUAUUUCCUGGCAUAUUUUCUAGUUGGUUGCUGCUGCUUUAGAGGUUGUUGAUUUUUACAUGUUGAUCUUGUACUGAGCAAACUUGCUGAACUCCCUCAUUCUCUGCACCAAUAUUGGUUAUUUUGUCUUUUCCUUUCCAAUUCUUACAUCUCUUAUUUCUUUUUCUUAUGUUGUCCAGGGCUUUUAAUACUAUUUUAAAGAAUAAAUGGGAUAGUAGAUGA